rnacentral:lncRNA from 1 species
CGAGGCGAGGCGCGAGGCGUAAAAUAGCGACGCUAUUUUGAAAUUACAAGUAAAUUAAAACACAUCAGCAGAUCAGCUUUACAAAAACAAAAGCACUCGACAAAAUUAGGGUUUUCUAUUCCACUCGACAAAAACAAAAGCACUCGACAUCAGCAAAUCAUCUUCAUCUUCAAGCCUCUCUCGAGUCUCGACCAGUCGACCAGCCAGGUAUGUUCUUCAUCUUCUUUCUUCUUUCUUCUUUCUUC